GAAACUUCAUUCUUCAUUUCGCUCCAGAUGACUGAAGCGCAUUAUCAUUUCCUUUUCAUCCUACCAUAUCUACCAUCCUGUGUGUGGCUGUGACUCUCACUUAGGGUCGGUUUUCUUUUUCAGUAAAAUGCUUCAGCCAUGCCCCAAGCUGUAUCCUAGGCCAGUCGGGGGUCUCUUCUACAAGACGACACGAUCAGUUGCUGUACGAGAUGUGAAGAAUGAAUUUUAACCAGCCUGGAAACUCAGGUCCUAUGAUUGUGCUGUGGUGGUGCUAUGGCUUGCAGCUUGGAUUCAGUCAUGAGGCCAUGUGGUAUCUAUGUACCAAUCAGGGCCUAUGCUGAGCACAGAAACCUUCCCUGGUCACCAUGGAGACACAGCUUCUCAUCUCCACCUCUCUGUGGGCAGUGCUUGAUGCAGAAGCAGGGAGAGCCAGUGCUUAGAAGGACACAGAGGAGCUAAUGAGUGACUUCAGCUGGGCUUCCAGUACCACGACUGGACUUUUCAUUACAUUGUGGUAGCAGAAGCAGCUCUUGAUGUGCACAUGUUGAUUUAUGGUACUUGAUGUGCCAUAAAUAAAGAAAACAAUGAUUCAGAACAUAGGCCAAUGGCACACACACACACACACACACACACAUACAAAAUAAAGUUCUUCCUCACCAUUCUCUAACAUUUGGGCUUUACAGCCAUGACAUCUCCAAUUUCUCCUGUGUGAUGUUCUUCAAUUUAUACUCCCCUGUGCAGAACAUGAGAUUGUCCAUCAAGUUGUCCAUCAGCUUGUUGUCACUGUGAUAAGUGCCUGAGAAAAUCAAGUGAAGAUAAGAAACUGUGGAUUUUGGCUCAUGGGUCAGAAGUGUCAGUCCAUGGUCACUUGACAGCCUCACUUUGAUACUAUGGAGUUGACCAAUAUCAGAAGAGGAGUAUAAGGGAGAGCAUAGGAUGAGUAUGUUUAAGUCAAGGGGGAUAACUGUGAGGGAAAGUAACGGGAAUGUGUCAUUUAUUAUAAUGUUCUAAAAUUUAAGUAUUUAACAUAUUUUGGAUUAUGUUCCUUAUAGAUCGGUCAUAUGAUCAUUUUUCAAGAAGAUUUAAUUACACAUAUCUUGAAAUAUCAUGCAUUGAAUACAUACACAAGAAAUAAAGUACUCAGAAAAGGUCAAAUUACAAGGAAUAUAAUAUUAAUAGUUGAGAUUAACUGUGUAGCAAAAGAUAGUCAUGUUGAAAUCUGAGGAUCAUCAGGCCACAUGAACGCUACUGCCCUAGCUUCCACAGUAAGUACUGGAAUCACAUGUGCAGAUUAUCUUACAGAAAUUAAUAGAUGGAUGAAUAAGAAUGUUAAUAAACUAGAAAAUAGGAAAGAUUUACCACUGCUGGUUAUUAUUAUGAUUGUUUCAAUCAUUAAACACAAUUCAAGCCAUUCAAAAAGAGAGGAAAGAGGAAAGACAAAGGAUGAAAGGAAGAAAGAAAAGUAGCCAUAAAACAAACUCUCAUGCAGGUUUCAAAACAAAGUUUGUGUUCAGUGUUUUGCAUAACCAGGAGAGUGAUGGAGAAUACCAGGAUACACAUGAAAAUGGAAAUAGCAUACGUAAUAAGGGAAAUUGUAAGAAUUAGUCUAGAAGUUGUGCUCAUAUAUAUAUAAACAAUAAAAUUACAUAUAAUCUCAGCCAAAAUGCUGAAAAGUGAUAAACAAAACUGUAAAUGCACCAGUUUUCAUAAGCUAACAUUUACUGUAAUAGCAAUGAAAACCAGCACUAGAGGGAAUCAAAUUAACACCAGGAAGAAGAAUUAGAGGAAUUGUGUCUGUUUAGAAAACCAAAACACCAUAAGUUAAUUUCACGUGCAUAAGAAGAAAGUUUGUUCUUGGCUGUUGUACUGCCUCUUAUAGGAUAUAAAAUGUACAUCUUUCUAGGAAUCCACUGAUAUGAGUCUCAUCUGAUGUUAGUAGCAGGGAAACAAUUUCUAAACAUAGCUAUGCACCUGAGUGUGAGGACAAAUCCAAGAAUCAGUCAAAAUAUCAGCAAGUUACUGUUCAGAAACACAAGGUAGUCACACUAAGGCAGAAACAUUUAAACUGAGCAGGAACCACAGCAGCUGUCGGUAAAGUAAGAGGCUGCUAUGAGCAAAAUCAUGACAAAUAAUCAGGGAGGUUUUUGUUUCAUAUUGGAUCCAUGUGGGACACCCUCUGUAAUACUGGUACAGUGAUAAAUGUCAACAUCCUCAGACUGCAGGCUGCUAAUGCUGAGAGUGAAGUCUUUUGCUGAGUCACUGCCAAUGAACCAGACUGAGACACCAGUCGAACACAUCAUAGAUGAGGAUCCUGGGAGCCUGCCCAGUUUUUUGCUGGAACCAGACUAAGGAGAUGCUAAACUCUCACUGGCCCAGCAAGUGACAGUGACUGUUUCUCCUGGAGACACAGCCAGGGAGGCUGGAGUUUGGGUCAUCAGGCUUCCGCCAGUGGAAUCUGAGACUGAAAAAUAAAAUAGAAAAAUCUUCCAUGUAAUCUAAGUCAUACCAAUAGUCUUCCCAAUUUAGCUAAGCUGACUGCUCUACUUGGAACUUGAAUUAUGAUGUGUAUUGAACAUACAAUGUACUACUGAACAAAGAAGCUAGCACUAAGCGUUUUCACAGAUUGCAAAAAAUAUUACAAGUAACCCCCACCUUUGAACCAGAAUAACAGGAGAUAGAGGAGCCCAGCCAGGCUCCCACCUAGGUCCUCCCUGGUGAAGAUCUCCCCAGAGCUCUGGCUCAGACAAUGAUGUGGGCUCUGAACAUCAGGGGGUGUUGAGAGGAGCAUGCACAGCAGCAUGGGUGAGAUGAGCUGAACUUGUAGCUGCAGAAACACUGUGCUCUUCUUUUCCUCACUUGAGCAAGCCAGGUCCAGAUGGUCAGGAGAGAAGGCCCUGGGAACAGCCACAGAAUAGUAUUUCCACUCUGUAGUUAGGGAACAUGAUCCUGGUGUCUUCCUGUCUUACCAAAUCUCUAACCUCAACCACAUGGUCUUCAAUACAAUCCUACUAAGUACAAGAUUAAGCCUACACUGAUUCUCUCCAUCUCAAGUAUGAUUCAUAGUCUCCCUUGGUGCAUAAUUAUGUCUGGUUGAAAUAAGGUUUUGUAUGAAACUUGUCUUCCAGAUACUCUUUUCCUUUGCAGUUUUGCACUCUUUUCCAAAGGCUAAUAAUGCAGCCUUACCCUUGUGGGAAUUGACCAAGGGCGACACACACUUAGGCUCAGUGGUGUAGGUCAGUGGACAACCACAGUUUCACAGACGAGCUGCACUGCAUCUCUCCCUCUUCAGCACACUGAUUCCAUUUCACUGAAAUCAGAAAUAGAACUUGCUGCGCAGGCCAACAACUAUUCCUUGGAUGAUUCUCUGCAUUGUUCAGUUACAACACAUCAAUCAAAACAAACUUGACUCUUUCACUUGAACAGUCUUGGAAAACUCUCUUUUCACUCCUAAUGAAUUCUCUAAAUACAUCACAUUCACCAACAAAAUAUUUCAUCUUUCAGAAUGGGUAAGUUGGGAUGUCAACUUUAAUAAUUUUUAUGGUGAAGGUGCUAGGAAAUACAAGACAAAGAAAAGUAAUAAAAUUCACAAGUUAAAAGACAGAAGGCAUAGCCUCACUUGCUUCCAAUAACCUCUCUUUAAAUAAUUCCUAUGACGGCACCAAAAAUUAGUAGAAUAGUAAUUUCAUUAAAGUCUCUGGGUUCACUGUCAAUAUGUUCACUAUGUCUUGUAAAUUAAAAAAUAUUUAGGGAAAUGGAGACAUUUUCCAUUUCCAUUAGGUUAAAAACUUGAUAUUAUUAACAUUUAAAGUUUUCAAAAGGUACAUAUAUUUACACAAAUGUAUUUCUUGCAAUGAAACCAAACAAUCUACAAAUGAUUUAUUUAAAUGGAUGAGCAGUCUGUACAAUAUACAAGAAAAAUCAAAGGGCCUAAAAUAAUCACAAAGUUUUUAAACAGUAUAAAUUGUAUAUGAGUGAACUUCUAUAGUAACUUUUUUUGAUUUCCUAUUAACUUGCUUUGAAGUCCUGUAAUACUCCCACUAUCUUGUUUUGACUGAUUAGACUCUGUUCCAUGCUGCAUGAUAGUAUCAAGUUUGAGGGUAUAGGCAACUAAUUUGAAGGCAAUAAGAUUCACUAAGAUGCCCAUUCUGGUUUGACUAUUGUCUCCUUUGGAAGUCCUGUAAUGUGUACAAUGCUUAAGUUUUAUUGGUCUUGUUCUCUACUGCUUUGUUCAACUUUAUAAUACCAAAUGAUAUAGACAAUUCUUUUUACGGAAACAAGAGGCAUUAUGGUAACCAUUGUUGAUAACCUUGUACUCUGUUUUUACAUCAUGUGCUAUGUCUAUCCUUGGUUUUGACUGACAGCUUUGUUUUGCCAUAUUUGACUUUAUUCUCUCCCCCCCCCAAAAAAGUAAUAAGAACUAAGGAGUAAUAAAACCCAAAAUGUGUAAAUUUUGUUGUAAAAAAAAUAGAAGGAAAAAAGUGUUCUAAAAGAUACAACAGCAAGUGUCUUUAGGGGUGUUAAAUAGCUGACCAUAUUAAUGUUUUUGGUUGGAUCAUUGAACACAGCUGUUUGCAGUCUCACUGUUUGAAUGUCCACUUUGUAUGCUUUGAUACUGUGACUUGAGCAACUAUCUCUAAGAUGAUAAUACGUAAUCUA